UCCAAAUUUCUUCUCUCUAUCAUUCAACCAAAUCAAAUCAUAUUGAAAACGAUGGCCGAUUCGGAGCCCCGAAAAAUCCGAAACAUCUGCAUACUGGCCCACGUCGACCACGGCAAGACGACUCUCGCCGACCACCUGAUCGCCUCCUCCGGCGGCGGCCUCCUCCACCCCAAGCUCGCCGGCCGCCUCCGCUUCAUGGACUAUCUCGACGAGGAGCAGCGGCGCGCCAUCACCAUGAAAAGCUCCUCCAUUGCUCUCCGCUUCAACGACCACUCAAUCAACCUUAUCGACUCACCCGGCCACAUGGACUUUUGCAGCGAGGUCUCCACCGCCGCCCGGUUAAGCGACGGAGCCCUCGUCCUCGUCGACGCCGUCGAGGGCGUCCACAUCCAGACCCACGCCGUCCUCCGCCAGGCCUGGAUCGAGAAGGUAAGCCCUUGUCUUGUUCUCAAUAAGAUUGAUAGGUUGAUUACCGAACUUAAAUUGACUCCAAUGGAGGCUUACACUAGGUUGUUGAGGAUUGUUCGUGAGGUUAAUGGGAUUAUGAGUGCGUAUAAGUCGGAGAAGUAUUUGUCCGAGGUCGAUUCCAUACUCGCCUCGAGGCCGUCUUCGGGCGAGGUUGGGGAGGAGAGUGGUGUUGAGUUUGUGGAGGAUGAUGAGGAGGAUACUUUUCAGCCCCAGAAGGGGAAUGUGGUGUUUGCGUGCGCGUUGGACGGGUGGGGUUUUAGUGUUCAUGAUUUCGCGGAGUUUUACGCGUCUAAGCUUGGAGCCAGCGCGGCUGCGUUGCGAAAGGCUUUGUGGGGUCCUUGGUACUACGAUGCCACGAGUAAGAUGAUUGUGGGGAAGAAGGGGAUGGGUGGAGGGAGUAAAGCUCGGCCCAUGUUUGUUCAGCUUGUGCUUAAGGAGCUCUGGCAGGUUUACCAGGCGGUGGAGACUGACGGAAAAAAAGGAUUGCUUGAGAAGGUGAUUAAGUUGUUUAAUUUGAACGUACCGCCACGUGAGCUCCAAAACAAGGAUCCGAAAGUUGUGCUUCAGGCAGUGAUGAGCCGUUGGCUUCCUUUGUCCAAUGCAAUAUUAUCAAUGGUGGUCAAGUGCAUGCCUGACCCAAUUACAGCACAGGCGUUUCGUAUUUCACGCUUGCUUCCAAAAAGAGAGGUUUUGAAUAAUGGGGUUGAUUCUAAUGCACUUGCCGAGGCAGAGCUUGUUAGAAAAUCAGUUGAAGCUUGUGAUUCGAGGCCUGAAGCUCCUUGUGUUGUUUUUGUGUCUAAGAUGUUUGCUGUCCCGGUGAAAAUGCUUCCUCAAAGGGGCCCCAAUGGGGAAGUCCUAAACAAUUUCGCCGAUGAAGGAGAAGAUGGUGCAUCUGGGGAGUGCUUUCUUGCAUUUGCGAGAAUCUUUAGUGGUGUUCUUAAAGCAGGACAGAGAAUUUUCGUUCUUUCAGCUCUAUAUGAUCCAUUAAAAGGGGAGUCGAUGCAGAAGCAUAUACAGGCGGUUGAGUUGCAAUCUUUGUAUCUAAUGAUGGGCCAAGGUUUGAAAUUUGUGCCGGCAGCACAUGCGGGGAAUGUUGUGGCAAUCAAAGGCCUGAGCCACCAUAUUCUUAAAAGUGCAACCCUUUCUUCCACAAAGAACUGUUGGCCUUUUUCAAGUAUGGUAUUCCAAGUUGCUCCUACUCUUAGAGUUGCAAUUGAACCUUCUGAUCCAGCAGAUAUGGUUGCAUUAAUGAAAGGUUUAAAGCUUCUGAAUCGAGCAGAUCCAUUUGUAGAGGUCACAGUUUCUGCGAGGGGAGAACAUGUUCUGGCUGCAGCCGGAGAAGUCCAUCUUGAGAGAUGCAUAAAGGAUUUGAAGGAUAGGUUUGCUAGGGUAAGCUUGGAAGUCUCACCACCUCUUGUCUCCUACAAAGAGACCAUUGAGGGAGAGGUAUCUAAUACUCUUGAGAAUCUAAAAUCCCUAACUGGGAGCUCAGAUUAUGUUGAGAAGACCACACCAAAUGGAAGAUGUGUUGUUCGGGUACAAGUCAUGAAGCUACCGCCUUCUUUAACUAAGGUUCUUGAUGAAAGUUCUGAUUUACUUGGAGAUAUUAUUGGAGAUAAGGCUGGACAUGCGAAUAGAAGUUUGGAAACACAGAUAUCAAACGUUGCAGAGGAUGAGAAUCCUGUAGAGUCCCUAAAGAAACGCAUAAUGGAUGCCGUGGAGAGUGAUAUUUUGUCCGGGAAUGAAAAUGACAAGGAGCAUGCAGAAAAAUGCAAACGAAAAUGGCUAAAGCUUCUAAAAAGGAUCUGGUCACUUGGGCCUCAUCUGAUUGGUCCUAACAUCGUCUUUACUCCAGACCCUGAAGGAAUGAGUACUGACGGGUUUAUUCUCAUUCAUGGCGCCUCUCACAUAUCUGAGAAACUAGGAUUUGCAGAUGAUUCUGGCCCCUGUGCUACAGCAGAUAGGCCAUCUUCAGAAGUAACUCAAGCAUUGUACUUUGAAGGAGAGCGUCUUGAGAGCAGUGUUGUGUCUGGAUUUCAACUUGCUUCGGCAGCUGGACCCUUAUGUGAUGAACCUAUGUGGGGUUUGGCAUUUAUUGUUGAAGCAUACAUUUCUCCAUUGACUGCACAUUCUGAUGAAUCUGAAAUUUCCCAUCAGCACUCUGAACAAUAUGGUAUCUUCACUGGACAGGUUAUGACAACUGUUAAAGAUGCUUGUAGGGCAGCUGUGCUUCAAAAGAAACCACGGCUCGUGGAAGCAAUGUACUUUGGUGAGUUGAACACACCAACUGAAUAUCUGGGCCCUAUGUAUGCCGUACUUGCACGGAGGAGGGCACGAGUUCUGAAAGAAGAAAUGCAGGAAGGUUCACCACUGUUUACAGUCCAUGCAUAUGUCCCUGUUUCUGAAAGCUUUGGUUUUGCAGACGAACUUAGGAGGUGGACUUCUGGAGCUGCUAGUGCCCUUCUUGUGCUUAGUCACUGGGAAGCCCUUCCUGAGGAUCCUUUCUUUGUACCUAAAACCGAAGAGGAAAUUGAAGAGUUCGGUGAUGGUUCUAGUGUGCUCCACAAUACAGCGAGAAAGCUCAUUGAUAAUGUAAGACGACGAAAGGGCCUUCCAGUUGAGGAAAAAGUAGUACAGCAUGCAACAAAGCAGAGGACCCUGGCUCGUAAGGUGUAGCUGUUUUUUGCUUUCUUCCAGCCACCUUGUCACAUUAUUGAGUCCCAAGUGGAAAACAGACUCUAGAACAAGAAAGUUUAAACAAAGGUAUAUUGAUGAGAGAAUGCAACACUAUCGGUGCUGACAGAUGAAAGAAAUGGGGUUUUGGCAAAAAAACAUCGUUUUUAGUUCACCCGUUCUGCAUCGUGCAUUUACUUGAGAUGGUUGUAGAAGAGAGGCUUGUAUGUGCAAUUGGAUGGAGAUGGACUUCUAGCCCAACAGCAGCAGUUUUCAAGAAGAAAUGCUCUCAUAUCAGACAUUUAUGGAAGCCUGCUGGAUUAAAUAGUUGAGGAAAGGCUGGUAAAUCACCUAUAAUCUGCGGCUAGUCAGACCUGCAGAAUUGGAAUUGGACUGUGAAAUUCAGCAUGUUGAAUUCCCAUGUAACAAAGGCUUUCUGAAGGUGGAAAUCCUAAAAUUUAAGAGUUAGAAAAUGUACAACUGGUUCUUGUUGUUUUAAGAAGCAUUUGUGAGAGGCAACUGGAUAUCUAGGCGGUGUAUCUUAGAGCUUUCUUUAUGCUGUUGAUUUAAUUUUGACCCAGUUUCCCCACAUUUUUCACGUA